rnacentral:lncRNA from 1 species
AUGGAGCACUGGGGCCACCAGAGAACAGGGAUGGAGCACUGGGGGCACCAGGAAAUUCAGUUUCCAGCCCAGGGACUGCCCAAAGCCCAGGUUUGUGCCUGCAGGGACACCCUGAGCUGCCAGUGCCCUCCAGGCAGGCUGGAUGGGGCUCAGCCCAGCUCUGGCACACCCAGCUCUGGCACACCCAGCUCAGCCCUGGCACACCCAGCCCAGCUCUGGCACACCCAGCUCAGCCCUGGCACACCCAGCUCUGGCACACCCAGCUCAGCNGGCACAAAGCUCCUGAGCUCCUGUCCGGGUUUGGGAAGGGAAAUGGCCCCAGAGGGGGAGGCAGCCAUGGGGAGCCGGGUGGGAAGCACAGGGAGGGAUAAGGGGAGGCUGCAUCAGCACUCCCACCCCUCCUGCCACACCACCAGCUGCCAGUCCCAGCUCCCUGCAGGAGCUUCCCCCCUUCACAUCUGUCCCAGCAGGGCUGAGCUGCUCCUGGCACCCUCCCCUGCCAUCCCCUCCCCUGACCUUCAGCUCCAGUUACAAGAUUUAUGCUCCCUCCUCCAGAAGGCUUCUCCUAUGGGUUACCUCAGCACACACCCCCUUCCCAGCCCAGGGAACCUGGGGAAGCAGCCAGAACUUCCCAAAACACCCCUUUUCCAUCUCCUCCACACAGCCAGCACUGUUCUCCCCCUGCCCAAGAUGAAGUGGAGGGCACAGAAGAAAGGAGCAGGUACAAAGUGCAGCUGCAGAGAGCAGAUUUAUUUUCCAUCCCUUUCCAAGGCAGCAAACACUCCACAGUCCAUGUUUACUCCCAGUAUCUCCACUCCCCCCUGUGCUCCUUGCUCCUCCACUCCUGGUGUUUGCAGAGGCCGAGGGAGCCGGGGCAGGUUUGCAGCCCUGAGCUCUGUGCCAGGGGCUGUGCUGCCACCAAACCUGUGCCCAGCACGGUGGGGGCCUGGCUGUGCCACCCCCAGCUCUGCAGCUGUCCCAGGAGCUGGCAGCAGGACAGCAGGACACGAGGCUGUGGCACAGCAGAGGUGCCCUGCAGGCUGUCACGAGCCUGUGCUGGCAGCACUGUGGGACAAAGGGGCAGCCUGUGCCCAAGGGGACAGAGGACAGCUCGUACAAGGUCAGCACCUGUAA